rnacentral:lncRNA from 1 species
UUUUAUCUCAAGCUCAACAAGUGUUCUUCGUGCAAGACUCUAAAGAUAAAGAUUGGUCUGUUGUUAUUAAGACUAAACCUAGGAACUUGUAUGAUAUGGGAAAAGGGUUAGCAGAGGAGGAUGAUAAGACUUAUACUCAGUGUAUGCCUUUUAAUGUUCCGCCAAUUGAUGAACUGAAUUCUACUAGUUUGGUUAGGAUGGAUGUUGAAUGAGAGCUGGCUAGUUUCUUAAUGGUAAGUAAAACAUUAGUUUUAUGCAUUAAAUUAUUUUGCAAUUUAUAAAUUAUUU